rnacentral:rRNA from 1 species
AUUGAACGCUGGCGGCAUGCCUUACACAUGCAAGUCGAACGGCAGCACGGGUGCUUGCACCUGGUGGCGAGUGGCGAACGGGUGAGUAAUACAUCGGAACGUACCGUGUAAUAGGGGAUAACGUAGCGAAAGUUACGCUAAUACCGCAUACGACCUGCGGGUGAAAGCAGGGGAUCGCAAGACCUUGCGUUAUACGAGCGGCCGAUGUCAGAUUAGCUAGUUGGUGAGGUAAAGGCUCACCAAGGCGACGAUCUGUAGCGGGUCUGAGAGGAUGAUCCGCCACACUGGGACUGAGACACGGCCCAGACUCCUACGGGAGGCAGCAGUGGGGAAUUUUGGACAAUGGGGGCAACCCUGAUCCAGCCAUGCCGCGUGAGUGAAGAAGGCCUUCGGGUUGUAAAGCUCUUUUGGCCGGGAAGAAAUCGCACAGGCUAAUACUCUGUGUGGAUGACGGUACCGGCAUAAGAAGCACCGGCUAACUACGUGCCAGCCGCCGCCGUAA